CGCCCGGGAGCCGGCUGCUGGCCGGGACUAGGCUGCCUGCGUCCUCGCCACUCGGGCGCCGCGCCCCGCGCCGCUCCGGCCCCUCCCGCCUCCCCGCAGCUCCCUCCCCGCAGCAACCCGCGGCGCGUGCGCAGGAGUGCGGCGCGGGGCAUCCUCGGGCGCACGGACCCGGAGUUUGUUCGGCCUAUGCGACGGGCGCUGUUCCGUCCGCCCGGCUCCCCAAAAGCCCGAAGCACCCGGCGCCCUCAUCGCGCUCGGCUCGGCCCGCCCCGGCGGGGCACCGCACGCUUCCCCUCCUGGAAUUCCCGUCCUAGGGCUUCCCGGGAGACCGCUGCGGCGGUGACGUCAGCAGGCCUCGCGGGCACGGUCCUCCCGCUACGUCACCGUCCAUGCCCUAGCCAGGCGAGGCUCCAGAGGCUGGCCUUGGCAGUGACCCAAUCUGUAGAAGAAGCUGGUGCCAUUAGCCAAGGAGCUAGCCCUGGGUGCAGAGCUGCUGGAGACACUGCAGGCCUGGCUGCUGCUCCUCAACACUGAGGCAAGCUGACGGAGUAGGAGGCAUUUGCACAAGUCGCAGUGGCACCUAGGAUGUGGCACAGACCUCCAACAGCAGUCUUUUCAGAGGGAUUGUUGUAGUUUACCCACGGAAUCUAUGAACACCACGUACCAAGACGAGUCCCAAAGUCUCCUGCAUCGCUUUCUUCUCCAGCUGUGAAGCCAGUGGGAUCAGUCACUCCAGAUAACAUGGUCUGCUACCUCGCAAUAACAUCAUGGACUGAAGACUGAGCUUUCAACACUUGGACCAUUAGGAGAUACUCAUCCAAACCAUAGCUGGUACCAUGACUCAAAGAAAGUGUACCAGAAAGCAGGACACAGAGGUCAAGGAAGCCUUCCUUGAAAAGGUGAUAUGCUAUUAGAGACCUCACGGAAAUGAGGAAAUGAGUUAAACAGGGACUGAGGGUUGGAAAGAGAACUUUCUUGAAUGAGAACCAGUACAGAUGUCUAAUGCACAAGUAACUCUAAUGCAGGGAGAGGCUAGUGGUCCAGAACCAGAGAAGGGAGACAUAUCAGACUACUGAAGGUACAGAUGUCUAGUGCAUAAGUAACUCUAACGUAGGGAGGGGCUAGUGGUCCAGAACCAGAGAAGGGAGACAAGAUCAGACUACUGAAGGCCCUCCUGAGCCUGUUGAAGGAUUUGGAUUUUAUUCUUAACUAUGAUGGAAAGCCACUGGGAUGUUACUGCUUAGUGUUUCAGCAAAGUGGCAUUCAUAUCUGACUUAGAUAUAUGUUUUAAAAAUCUCUCUGGUUGUAGCUACAUAGAUGGUGGUUUCUAAAUGGAAACUUGAAGUAAGGAAACUGUUCUAAUAGCUUUAACUAGACUGAAAGACAGAUAACGGUACCUUCAAGUUUUCCAGGCUGCAUUAUGCAAAGUUACAUAGCACACAUGCACAGAUAAAGAUCUAACCCUCCAAAAGCCAUCCUCCUUUCAAGUUCAAAUCAAAACAGUCACAGAGUUCUUCAAUGUCUCCUGACAUUUUUCAAGUUAGAAACUUGUAAGAGUUUCUGAAUAACCAGUUUACAUCCAUUCCAACAUCUUAUUCUUAGCUCAAUAAAUUAAAACCACUCAAGUUGGUGGAUAAAAAUAAAACACCUCCUUAAAAACCUCAAAAUAAUUUUAUUUCUCAGAAACAACUUAGAUAUUAAAAGUUUAUAAGACAUGGUGAAAUGAAUUAUAUGUUAGCAGGAACAAAUACCUUUUUUUAACUGACAAAACAUACAUUAAAUCUUAGUCACAAGGACAAUGAUUUUGUUAAAUGCAACUAAAACAAAUCUUACAAAAUAUAGGAGUCAACAUAACCCAAGAAUUACUAAUAUUCAGAAUUCUUAGACUAAAAUUAAUAUGCAACAUUCAGCUAACUUUAAGGUAAAUUUUUCACUUGGGAAUAAGUGAGAAUUAGUAGUAAUUCUGGUUAUUGAUUUUAGAAAAUGGAAGGAUGAAAUGUUCAGGGUCACAGCUUUUUGACAGGCAGGUAUGGUACUACAUGUUUUUAGUGCCAACACUGGGAAGACUGUGGCAGGAGGAUCAUGAGUUCGAGGCCAGCCAGGAGCUACAUAGCAAGACACUGUCUCUUGUCUUAAAAACAGAGACUUUAACACAUCUUCCAAAGACAAAUAGUUCAGUUAAGAAAUAGGCAAAGGAAUGGGCUUGGUACGGCAUAGCUGUGAUCCUAGCACUUAGGAAGUUGAGGCAGGAGGAUUGUGAAAGUGAGGCCAGCCUGGGGCAUAGAGCAAGGUCUCGAAAGAAACACGCAAGCUGAGGAACAGUUACAGCAGGAAAGGCGAAGGACUGAGCAGACAUUUUGAGGAGGUAUUACUAAGCACAUAAGAAGAGUCUGAAUGUCACUUGCCGUUGGGGUGAUGCAAAUGACAACCACAGAGAGGUGUCACUUCCUCAUUAGGGUGGUUAUCAGAUAUAUUAAUGUCUCUCUAUCUACACAACAGGAAAUAACAGAUGUUGAUAAGGAUGUGAAGAUAAUGGAAACUCUGGACACUGCUGGUAGACAUGUAAAAUGGUUUUUGUAGAAUGGAUAACAGUUUGACAGUUUUUCAAAAUAUUAUACAUCGCAUUACCAUAUGAUGAAGUAAUUUCACUUUCUAACCCCUAAAGAUACAGUAGCAGACAUUGAAACAGAUUCCUGUGUGCCGUUGUUCACAAUGCUCAGGAAGUGGAUACAGUCCAAACCUGUAUUAGCAGGUGAAUGAAUAAUCAAAUGUUGCAUCUACAAACAACAGAGUAUUAUUCAGCCUUAGAAAGAAAUUCUGAUGUGUUCUAUACAAUAGAUGACCAAUAGUGACAUUUUGCUAAGUGAAACAAACCACAAAUGGAAGGAAAAUACUUUAUGAUUCCAGUUGUAUGAUAUAACUAAAAUAGUUUAAUCCAUAGAAACCAAAAGUAUGAUGGAGAUUACCAGGGUUGGGGAAAGAGAAUAUGUCUAGUUCGUUUUCUGCUGCUAUAACAAAAUAAUGAAGUCUGGGAAAUUUAUAAAGAUAAGAAGUUUAUCUAACUCACACUUCUGGAAGUCUAAGGAUACCGUGCCAAAAUAUGUUCACCUUCUGAUGGGAACUUCAUGCUGUAUCACAACAAGACAAAGAUGUGGAAGUAAGUUUGUGCAAAGAAGAGCUAUAUACCAGAGAGAGGAAUCGAGGGAUGAGAGGUGACCUUGCUGUAUGUCAUCCUGCUCUUGAGAGAGCCAAUCCAGUCCCAUCAGAGCAAGAACUUCUCAUGAGAAAAGCAUCAAUCAUUCAUAAAAGACAUAACCACCUCUUAGAGGUGCUGCCACCUCUCAGUACAGUUGCUUAAAAAUUAUAUUUCAGCAUGAGUUUUUCUGAGAAUGACCACAUCUAAGCCAGGGCAGGGAUGAAUGGGGAGUUAGUGUUUACUGGGUUCAGAGUUUCAGUUUGGGACAAUAAAAGACACCUAGAAACAAAUAGUUAUCUAGCACUGUAAUUGUACUGAAUAGCACUAAAUUUAUAUAAUUAUGGUUCAUUGAAAUGGUCACUUUUUUUUUUUUUUUUUCGUUUUUUGAGACAGGGUUUCUCUGUGUAGCUUUGCGCCUUUCCUGGGACUCGCUUGGUAGCCCAGGCUGGCCUCGAACUCACAGAGAUCCACCUGGCUCUGCCUCCCGAGUGCUGGGAUUAAAGGCAUGUGCCACCACCGCCCGGCCGAAAUGGUCACUUUUAUUUAGCCCCCCUAUUGCAUGAAUCCUAAUUGGUCUUAAUAAAAAAAAACCCAGAGCCAGAUGUCAGGGUAAAUGCUGAGAGAUCAGAAAGACAAAGGAACAAACCACAGCCGCCCCUCACCUCACCAGCUCCUCAGCUGAAAGGAGUGAGCUCCUUUCUUCUCUCACCUUAAAUUCCUUUCUCCACCCAGCCAUAUCAUUUCCUGUCUCAACCUCCCUAGUGCUGGGAUUAAAGGCGUGUGUGCCUCCCAAGUACUGGGAGCAAAGGCAUGAGAUCCAAGUGCUGGGAUUAAAGGCGUGUGCCACCACUGCCUGGCCUCUAUGGCUAACUAGUGGCUGGCUCUGCCCUCUGAUCUUCAGGCAAGCUUUAUUUGUUAGAGCUUACACAAAAUAUCAACACACACACACACACACACACACACACACACACACACACACACACACACACGCCCCAACAAAAAUCCUCCCACUUAGAGGAUGUGCUAUGACAGUUCGUGUCUUUAGCCAUUCCCUCUGGAGCCUGGAAUAAUACCCGAUGGAGGCAGGUGACCAUGUUUGCAUGCUCACUGUGAUUACAUUCUCAGAACAUGACAAUAGCUCCCCCUUCACUACAGUGGCUAGAGUCUGUGAUGUGGCUCACCAGAGCUUCUGUUAUAUCCUUUUUCUUUAUUUUCCCAGACAACUGUGAAAACCUUUUCUAAAAUACCUGUGACACUUCCUCUUUCAUUUCAAGUAUUCUGAAUUGACCAAAAAUAUUGAAGUUGUUUGAUAUGUUGAACUCUGUAAAAGUGUGAUUUCCCCAAUACUUUAUCUGUUGAUUAUUCGACUUCAGACUGGGCUAGGACGGGUGACAUGGAUUUUUUGUUUGCAGUACCACACAUGUUGUUGGAAACAAUAUACGUUCGAAUCUCAGCUCUUGUGUGUAUUUCCUUGGUUUGAACAAUUUAUCCAAUCCAAGCAGGCAAAGAGAUAUAACUGACAGUUACCUGCUGACAUGUGAUAAGCCAUGUGGUUUCAACUCGGUCGAACCACUGAAACUAUAGUUCAUAAGGGAAUGGGCAGAGAGAAAUGAGCUGUGAAACAAACAGAAAACUAACAAAACUUGAAAGAAAUGCUUCAUAACUAGAUCUGGGUGGGUUCAUUUUUGGAUUUUAAUUUUAAUUAUCACCAUGUCUGUGUGUGUGUCUGUGUGUGUGUGUGUGUGUGUGUGUGU